rnacentral:lncRNA from 1 species
UCCAAAAUCAGAUCUGAAAAGAGUCAAAAACACAGAAAAAACAGGAACUCGCACUUGCACUGAAUUAAUAAGUUAGUCUCAAAAAACAUAUAAAAUAUACAUAAAAUAUCCAAAGAAGACAAGAUAACAACGUGAAACCAUAAAAAAUUAUAGAUACGUUUGAGACGUAUCAUCUGGCAAGACGGGUAGCAUAGAUACCUCCAUAGACAACACCUUUAGAACGGUUAAGGUUCAACCGUUGAGCUACUAUAGCGCCCAAGAUAUAAGUUUUAUCUCUACAAAGGGCUUCGCACAAGACCGCAAGAUCUGGGGAACUAAGUGACCCAGCUUUCCCAUGGCCAAUCAAACAUUUUCCCACAAAUAGUGAGAAUUACCGAAGCACGGUAAAAUGAAUGCUA